UCCUUGGUGGUCUAGUGGUGAGGACUCCUGGUUUUUCACACAGGCAGGCUGGGUUUGAUUCCCGGUGUGGGAA
rnacentral:tRNA from 1 species